CGCCGCAAGUGGAUAAUAUUAAUAGUGUAAAAAUAUGCAAGUGUUCGGUAAACAGGAAGUUGUCGAGUGAUGAAUCUGAAAACGCAUCACACGGUAUAGCUGACUUAUAAAAAUCCUGAAACCAAAUUUCAGAAAUCCUUGUAUUGUAGUUCCUGAGAAAAAUGUGACGAAAAUUUUUAACUUGGUUAUCAUGUGUAAAAUCAUACAAGUGUUCGGUAAACAGGAAGUAGUCGAGUGAUGAAUCUGAAAACGCAUCACACGGUAUAGCUGACUUAUAUAAAUCCUGAAACCAAAUUUCAGAAAUCCUUGUAUUGUAGUUCCUGAGAAAAAUGUGACGAAAAUUUUCAACUUGGCUAUCAUGUGUAAAAUCAUACAAGUGUUCGGUAAACAGGAAGUUGUCGAUUGAUGAAUCUGAAAACGCAUCACACGGUAUAGCUGACUUAUAUAAAUCCUGAAACCAAAUUUCAGAAAUCCUUGUAUUGUAGUUCCUGAGAAAAAUGUGACGAAAAUUUUCAACUUGGCUAUCAUGUGUAAAAUCAUACAAGUGUUCGGUAAACAGGAAGUUGUCAAGUGAUGAAUCUGAAAACGCAUCACACGGUAUGGCUGACAUAUAUAAAUGUUGAUACCAAAUUACAGAAAGGGUGGAUGUGUAGUUCCUGAGAAAAUGUGACGAAAGUUUCAUGGGACGGACUGACUGACUGACGGACGGACUGACGGACGGACUGAUGGACGGACUGACAGACAGAGGUAAAACAGUAUACCCCCCCUUUUU
rnacentral:lncRNA from 1 species